rnacentral:rRNA from 1 species
GACGAACGCUGGCGGCGUGCCUAACACAUGCAAGUCGAGCGAUGAAGUUCUUCGGAACGGAUUAGCGGCGGACGGGUGAGUAACGCGUGAGCAAUCUGCCUUACACAAAGGGAUAGCCUCGGGAAACUGGGAUUAAUACCAUAUGACACUUGGUAAUCGCAUGAGGACCAAGUCAAAGAUUUUAUCGGUGUAAGAUGAGCUCGCGUCUGAUUAGCUAGUUGGUGGGUAAAGGCCUACCAAGGCGACGAUCAGUAGCCGGCCUGAGAGGGUGAACGGCCACACUGGAACUGAGACACGGUCCAGACUCCUACGGGAGGCAGCAGUGGGGAAUAUUGCACAAUGGGCGCAAGCCUGAUGCAGCGACGCCGCGUGAGCGAAGAAGGUUUUCGGAUCGUAAAGCUCUGUCCUCUGGGAGAAAAAAUGACGGUACCAGAGGAGGAAGCCCGGCUAACUACGUG